rnacentral:rRNA from 1 species
CCUACGGGAGGCAGCAGUGGGGAAUCUUGCACAAUGGGGGAAACCCUGAUGCAGCGACGCCGCGUGAGGGAAGAAGUAUCUCGGUACGUAAAGCUCUUUCAGCAGGGAAGAUAAUGAUGGUACCUGACCAAGAAGCCGCGGCGAACUACGUGCCAGCAGCCGCGGUAAUACGGAGGGGGCAGGCGUUAUCCGGAUUUACUGGGAGUAAAGGGAGCGUAGACGGCAGCGCAAGUCUGGAGUGAAAUGCAGGGGCUUAACCCCGGAACUGCUAUGGAACCUGGGAGGCUGGGGGGCAGGAGGGGUAAGCGGAAUUCCCAGUGUAGCAGUGAAAUGCGUAGAUAUCAGGAGGAACACUCGUGGCGAAGGCGGGUUACUGGACUGUAACUGACGUUGAGGCUCGAAGGCGUGGGGAGCAAACGGGAUUAGAUACCCGGGUAGUC